rnacentral:rRNA from 1 species
CCUACGGGAGGCAGCAGUGAGGAAUAUUGGUCAAUGUACGCAAGUCUGAACCAGCCAUGCCGCGUGCAGGAAGACGGCUCUAUGAGUUGUAAACUGCUUUUGUACGAGGGUAAACGCAGAUACGCGUAUCUGUCUGAAAGUAUCGUACGAAUAAGGAUCGGCUAACUCCGUGCCAGCAGCCGCGGUAAUACGGAGGAUUCAAGCGUUAUCCGGAUUUAUUGGGUUUAAAGGGUGCGUAGGCGGUCGGAUAAGUUAGAGGUGAAAUCCCGAGGCUCAACUUCGGACUUGCCUCUGAUACUGGUCGUCUAGAGAGUAGUUGCGGUAGGCGGAAUGUAUGGUGUAGCGGUGAAAUGCUUAGAGAUCAUACAGAACCCCGAUUGCGAAGGCAGCUUACCAAGCUACUUCUGACGUUGAGGCACGAAAGCGUGGGGAGCAAACAGGAUUAGAUACCCCAGUAGUC